UAGCAACUGGAUUUGCAGCAGAAACACCCUGCUAAAGAGCAAGUAUCUUGAUUCACAGCAAAGAGGACAAAGGAAAACAGCAAGUUAUAGGGCGUUGAAUCCUGGAUUGUCAUUACUGAGGAGAAACUUCAGGUUACUGUGCUGUCCACCCCACUAUGGCCUCCUCAGCUCCAGAGGUCAGCAGGAAAGAAAAUGCUGAGAUACUUUAAAAAGAGUGAUGGUAGUCAUGGGGCACAAGAAGAAACACAUUCACAGGGAUUUAAGGCUACCACCACCUCAGUUCUUGACCUUCUCCAUAAGAUAGAGAAUUUUCUCAAUCGGGAAAAGAAUUACUUUGUAAAUGAUGAACUCUCACUUCCUAAAUUUUCUGCACUUGCUACUGUUGCUGGAGGAAAUGUCACUGUUAAAGAAUAGAAGACCAUUUUUCUAAAGAAGUAUUUCAGACUGACUGAAUCAGGUCUGGAACAUUAUUGAAAUGGUAAGAUAAAACUCAGCUACUUUCUGGUAAAAGGAAAAAUUCUUUUUAAAAAUGUGGUCCCUUCU
rnacentral:lncRNA from 1 species